rnacentral:piRNA from 1 species
UUUUCAAAACCAUUCGCCUGCACUUUCUCC